UACGUAGGGUGCGAGCGUUAAUCGGAAUUACUGGGCGUAAAGCGUGCGCAGGCGGUUUUGUAAGUCAGAUGUGAAAUCCCCGGGCUUAACCCGGGAGCUGCCUCUGAUACGGCAUGGCUUGAGUCCGGGAGAGGAGAGCAGAAUUCCCAGUGUAGCGGUGAAAUGCGUAGAUAUUGGGAGGAAUACCAGUGGCGAAGGCGGCUCUCUGGACCGGUACUGACGCUGAGGCGCGAAAGCGUGGGUAGCAAACAGG
rnacentral:rRNA from 1 species